GCAGCAGGCGCGCAAAUUACCCACUCCCGGAACGGGGAGGUAGUGACGAAAAAUAACAAUACGGGACUCUUUUGAGACCCCGUAAUUGGAAUGAGUACACUCUAAAUCCUUUAACGAGGAUCUAUUUGAGGGAAAGUCUGGUGCCAGCAGCUGCGGUAAGUCCAGCUCAAAUAGCGUAUAUUAAAGUUGUUGCGGUUAAAAAGCUCGUAGUUGGAUCUCAGUUCGUGACGGGCGGUCCACCUACCGGUGGUUACUGCCUGUUCACAACACCGGCCGGUUUCCUUGGAUGAUCUUCACCGGUUGUCUUGGGUGACCGGCAAGUUUACUUUGAAAAAAUUAGAGUGCUCAAAGCAGGCGCGACGCCUGAAUAAUGGUGCAUGGAAUAAUGGAAUAGGACCUCGGUUCUAUUUUGUUGGUUUUCGGAACACGAGGUAAUGAUUAAGAGGGACAGACGGGGGCAUUCGUAUUGCGACGCUAGAGGUGAAAUUCUUGGACCGCCGCACGACGAACUACUGCGAAAGCAUUUGCCAAGAAUGUUUCCAUUAAUCAAGAACGAAAGUUAGAGGCUCGAAGGCGAUCAGAUACCGCCCUAGUUCUAACCAUAAACGAUGCCAGCCAGCGAUCCGGCUGUGUUCCUCAAAUGACACGCCGGGCAGCUUCCGGGAAACCAAAGCUUUUGGGUUCCGGGGGGAGUAUGGUUGCAAAGCUUAAACUUAAAGGAAUUGACGGAAGCGCACACAAGGAAUGGGGCCUGCGGCUUAAUUUGACUCAACACGGGACAACCUACCUGGCCCGGACACAAGAAGGAUUGACAGAUUAAGAGCUCUUUCUUGAUUUUGUGAUAGGUGGUGCAUGGCCGUUUCUGGUUGGUGGAGUGAUUUGUCUGCUUUAUUGCGAUAACGAGCGAGACUCUAGCCUACUAAAUAGACGUUCCGAUCCUUAUGAGUCGGACGUUCUUCUUAGAGGGACAAGCGGUGUUCAGCCGCACGAAACAGAGCAAAAACAGGUCAGGAUGCCCUUGGAUGUUCGGGGCCGCACGCGCGCCACAUUGAAGGAAUCAGCGUGUGCUUUCCCUGUCCGACAGGACUGGGUAACCCGUUGAACCUCCUUCGUGCUGGGGAUAGGGGCUUGUAACUAUUCCCCUUGAACGAGGAAUUCCCAGUAAGCAUGAGUCAUUAGCUCGUGUUGAUUACGUCCCUGCGCUUUGUACACACCGCCCGUCGCUGUUAUCGAUGAAUAUUGGAGUGAGAUCUUCGGACUGGUGCCCGGACUGGACUUCGGUUCGAGCCGGAGUGCCGGAAAGAUGACCGAACUUGAAUAUUUAGAGAAAACAAAAGUCGUAACAAGGCUUCC
rnacentral:rRNA from 1 species